GCGCAGGGUUCCCAGACGCCAGCGCACUCCUUGCCCUGGAAACGGACCUGGCGACCCAGCAGUUGCAAGGAGAGAGAGAGUGCUGACUGGAAUGGUAAGCUGUCAAUGUUUGUCGUUUAUACAGGGUUUAAUAUGGUUGGAUUUGUAGAGUUCUAUAAAGCCGUCUUGAUACCCCUCUACCCUUCCCAUCAUAUUCUGCCUAGGAAAACACUUUUGUAUUGACAGUUGCUAUGAGAUUUUGAGUCCCAUAAUUAGAAUCCAUAGAAUGGUCCUUUGGAGGAAGGAUUUUUGGGAUAUAUUUGACAUUUGUAUCCUAAAGCGUAAUUAGUUGAAGUUUGUAUAUUUGUGACAUUUUGGCCUUACCCAGUACUCCUUUUAAAGACGCCAUGCUUCAGUUGUAGGUGCUACAAAGCAACAUUUAGUGUCAUAUACAACUUUACUGCUUGCUCUGUAUUUUGAUUAGUAUUUUAUAACACAUUUCUUGCAUUAAUUUGUGAAUAUUUACAAAUAUGAAUAUUGAAAGUAUACGUAUUUUUUUAUUAGGCUUUUACAUUUUUUUUUACAAACAUUGUCAAACAUGAUGUACUUUACAGGCAAUUCAAAGUUCUGUUAGCUCAAUACUUUAAAGUUAUGGCUUCUUUUAUAGAGACACUUUGGCAUAGUAAACAAUGUAACCAAUCACAGCCCUCCUUUUAAGUGUCAUUGCACAUCCUGCAAAUCAAGAGCAGAGGUGACUAUUUUGAAUCCAUUUUCACAUUCACUCUGUUGGUAAUGCUUAAAAAUGUGUUUUACUCUAAAAGUAGCAGAGAUUCCACUCUGUAUCUUUGAUAUGCCCAUAGUGUAUUAUGUUUGCCAAAUCAAAAGUGGGAUAUUUUCACUUCAUGCUGUUAUUUUUCUACAUUCCGAAAUGUAUGUAAGAAAUGUUAUUGAAAUCAAAAUACAUAUGACAGAGCAAGCAGUUUAGCUUCAUAUGACACCAUAUAUUGGCAUGUAGCACCUACAGAUAAAACAAUAUGGAGUCUUACAGGAGUCCUGGGUAAUGUCAAAUUCGAACUAUAGUUAGUUAUUUCUAAAUCAUGCUUUAAGACACUGUUAAAUGUGUAUAUAUAUAUAUAUAUAUAUAUAUAUAUAUAUAUAUAUAUAUAUAUAUAUAUAUAUAUAUAUAUAUAUAUAUAUUACUCAGCAAAAAAAGAAACGUCCUCUCACUGUCAACUGCUUUUUCAGCAAUCUUAACAUUUGUAUGAACAAUCUUAAUAUUUGUAUGAACAUAACAAGAUUCAACAACUGAGACAUAAACUGAACAAGUUCCACAGACAUGUGACUAACAGAAAUGGAAUAUUGUGUCCCUGAACAAAGGGGGGGGUCAAAAGUAACAGUCAGUAUCUGGUGUGGCCACUAGCUGCAUGAAGUACUGCAGUGCAUCUCCUCCUCAUGGACUGCACCAGAUUUGCUAGUUCUUUCUGUGAGAUUUUACCCCGCUCUUCCACCAAGGCACCUGCAAGUUCCUGGGACAGUUCUGGGGGGGAAUGGCCCUAGCCCUCACCCUCCGAUCCAACAGUUCCCAGACGUGCUCAAUGGGAUUGAGAUCCGGACUCUUCGCUGGCCCUGGCAGAACACUGGCAUUCAUGUCUUGCAGGAAAUCACGCACAGAAUGAGCAGUAUGGCUGGUGGCGUUGUUAUGCUGGAGGGUCAUGUCAGGAUGAGCCUGCAGGAAGGGUACCACCUGAGGGAGGAGGAUGUCUUCCCUGUAACGCACAGCGUUGAGAUCGCCUGCAAUGACAACAAGCUCAGUCCGAUGAUGCUGUGACACACCGCCCCAGACCAUGACGGACCCUCCACCUCCAAAUCGAUCCCGCUCCAGAGAACAGGCCUCAGUGUAACGCUCAUUCCAUCGAUAUUAAACGCAAAUUCCGACCAUCACCCCAUGUCACAGAUAAAACCGCGACUCGUCAGUGAAGAGCACUUUUUGCCAGUCCUGUCUGGUCCAGCGACGUUGGGUUUGUGCCCAUAGGCGACAUUGUUGCCGGUGAUGUCUGGUGAGGACCUGCCUUACAACAGGCCUACAAGCCCUCAGUCCAGCCUCUCUCAGCCUAUUGCGGACAGUCUGAGCACUGAUGGAGGGAUUGUGCGUUCCUGGUGUAACUUAGGCAGUUGUUGUUGCCAUCCUGUACCUUUCCCGCUGGUGUGAUGUUUGGAUGUACCGAUCCUGUGCAGGUGUUGUUACACGUGAUCUGCCACUGCAAGGAUGAUCAGCUGUCCAUCCUGUUUCCCUGUAGCGCUGUCUUAGGCGUCUCACAGUACGGACAUUGCAAUUUAUUGCCCUGGCCACAUCUGCAGUCCUCAUGCCUCCUUCACCAUGCCUAAGGCACGUUCACGCAGUUGAGCAGGGACCCUGGAUAUCUUUCUUUUGGUGUUUUUCAGAGUCAGUAGAAAGGCCUCUUCAGUGUCCUAUGUUUUCAUAACUGUGACCUUAAUUGCCUACCAUCUGUAAGCUGGUAGUGUCUUAACGACCGUUCCACAGGUGCAUGUUCAUUCAUUGUUUAUGGUUCAUUGAACAAGCAUGGGAAACAGUGUUAACUUCACAAAUCUUCAUUAGAAAGUGUUUAUUUGGAUUUUUACGAAUUAUCUUUGAAAGACAGGGUCCUGAAAAAGGGCAGUUUAUUUUUUUGCUGAGUUAUUUAUAUAUAUAUCUCAAUCAACAAUCCUUCCUAUAAUGGGCCCUUCUAUGGAUUAAAUUGAAUGCAAAUUAAAAGUUUUCAAGUUUUGUGUGGAUUCACCCAUAAAUGUCUUCUACAGUUUGACUUGUAGCCUACUUAGUGACUUUCCUGUCUUCUGUUCAACGACAAACACUUUAUCGAUAUAGGCAACUAAAACACUAAAAGCACAGUUGCUUGCAGCUUCCUCUCGAGUCACUGGUAUGGAUCUUCUGGGAUAUAUUGUGUGUGUGGAGGGGAAGUGAGGCAACUGGAACCUGUCUCUGGUCUGCAGAACCUUCAAUACAAUGCGGACAAAUUACAUUUUCAGGAAGUACUCCACAGGGAAGAGAUCAGAUCCUGAACCCCAGUAGUUACUGAAAGGAGAAGCCAGUACAUUGUGCUUACAGGUUACUGUGAAGGACAACAUAAACCAUUAUAUGCUUGCUGCUCUUCUUACACCUCUAUUACUAAUAAAACGUUUAUUUACAA